rnacentral:misc_RNA from 1 species
AACUUUUGGCAAUGGAUCACUUGGCUCUCGCAUCGAUGAAGAACGCAGCGAAAGGCGAUACGUAAUGUGAAUUACAGAAUUCAGUGAAUCAUAGAAUCUUUGAACGCACCUUGCGCCCCUUGGCAUUCCGAGGGACACACCCGUUUGAGUGUGGUGCAAUUCUCACAACCUUUUCCUUUGCCGGAAAGUAUUUUGGACUUGGAGGCCUUUUGCUGGUUUCACCUCGUAGCGAGCUCCUCCCAAAUGGAUUAGUGGGGUCUGCUUUGCCGAUCCUUGACGUGAUAAGAUGCUUCUACGUCUCGGGUUUUGGCACUGUGCCUCUGCUUCUAACCGUCUCAUUGACAACGAUGGUGUUCCGGUCACCGCCGAUUCGUCGGUGGGAGGCUUGACCCACAAAACGACCUUGACCUCAAAUCGGGUGAGACUACCCGCUGAACUUAAGCAUAUCAAUAAGCGGAGGCU